AUUCUACUCCCUCCGUUCCACAAUACAUGCCUUCUAUUUGUCAAAAUAUAGAUGUAUCUAGACAUGUUUUAGUAUAUAGGUACAUCCCUUUUUGGACAAAUGGAAGUCAAGUAUUUUGGAAUGGAGGGAGUACACA
rfam:Triticum aestivum genome assembly, contig: Triticum_aestivum_CS42_TGACv1_scaffold_499705_6BL